GGAAUUAAGGCAGGACAGAGAAGUAAUAAUGCGGAAGGUAAAGGUUGGUGGGGGAUAGGACUGCUGUUUUUAGUGGAAUCUUCUACAUGGAAAGAAAACUGCAGGACACAAGAACACCAGCAGAGUAAAGAAUGUGCCUGGGAGAAAUGGGAGGCUUUGAGGAUUGCUGGAGAAAAUGGGUGCCAGGAAAUGAGAAACUCAUGUGUCUGGGGCCCUAAAAGGCCUAGCUAAGGUUGUGAGAAUCACUGUUGAAUGAUAUAUCAAAAGCCUUACUACCUCAAAAGACCUUCCACUGUGGGUGCCACAUGUCUCUGCACCACACCCCAGAGGGCCCACAGCCAUUCUGCAUUCAAGAGAGGCUGAGGGGGGUAAGACUCUUUUUCUUCUCUGCUAAACUGCCUAUUUUGAUGAUGAGAUGUCUGCUAUCAUCACAGGGAAUAGAAUUUCCUCUUGCACUAGCCUAAAGAAUG